AACGAACGCUGGCGGCAUGCCUAACACAUGCAAGUCGAACGAGACCUUCGGGUCUAGUGGCGCACGGGUGCGUAACGCGUGGGAACCUGCCCUUAGGUUCGGAAUAACUCCCCGAAAGGGGUGCUAAUACCGGAUAAUGUCUUCGGACCAAAGAUUUAUCGCCUUAGGAUGGGCCCGCGUUGGAUUAGCUAGUUGGUAGGGUAAAAGCCUACCAAGGCGACGAUCCAUAGCUGGUCUGAGAGGAUGAUCAGCCACACUGGGACUGAGACACGGCCCAGACUCCUACGGGAGGCAGCAGUGGGGAAUAUUGGGCAAUGGGCGAAAGCCUGAUCCAGCAAUGCCGCGUGAGUGAUGAAGGCCUUAGGGUUGUAAAGCUCUUUUACCCGGGAUGAUAAUGACAGUACCGGGAGAAUAAGCGCCGGCUAACUCCGUG
rnacentral:rRNA from 1 species